rnacentral:rRNA from 1 species
AGCGGAGGAAAAGAAACCAACAGGGAUUGCCCCAGUAACGGCGAGUGAAGCGGCAACAGCUCAAAUUUGAAAUCUGGCCCCAGGCCCGAGUUGUAAUUUGCAGAGGAUGCUUUUGGCGCGGUGCCUUCCGAGUUCCCUGGAACGGGACGCCAUAGAGGGUGAGAGCCCCGUACGGUUGGACACCAAGCCUUUGUAAAGCUCCUUCGACGAGUCGAGUAGUUUGGGAAUGCUGCUCAAAAUGGGAGGUAUAUUUCUUCUAAAGCUAAAUAUUGGCCAGAGACCGAUAGCGCACAAGUAGAGUGAUCGAAAGAUGAAAAGCACUUCGAAAAGAGGGUUAAACAGCACGUGAAAUUGUUAAAAGGGAAGCGCUUAUGACCAGACUUGCGCCCGGUGAAUCACCCAGCUCUCGCGGCUGGGGCACUUUGCCGGCUCAGGCCAGCAUCAGCUCGCUGUCGGGGACAAAAGCUUCGGGAACGUAGCUCUCUUCGGGGAGUGUUAUAGCCCGUUGCACAAUACCCUUCGGCGGGCUGAGGUACGCGCUCCGCAAGGAUGCUGGCGUAAUGGUCAUCAGCGACCCGUCUUG